ensembl:lncRNA BMS1P1 BMS1 pseudogene 1
GGACCUAAGGAGUCGCAGUUGUGAACAGGUUAGAGUUACUUGUUAUUGGUAAAUAGCCACUAUGGAGACUAAGGACCAGAAGAAACACAGAAAGAAAAACAGUGGACCCAAAGCUGCAAAGAAAAAGAAGUGGCAUCUGCAGGAUCUCCAGCUAGGAGACGAAGAAAAUGCCCAGAAGAGAAAUGCCAAUGCUUUUGCAGUUCAGUCUGCUGUGUGGAUGUCUCGAUCCUUUCACAGGACUCUGGAUUUGAAGACACAAAAGCAUCAUAUUCCAGUGGUUGAUGGAACUCCACUAGAGCCGCCACCAAUAGCGGUAGUGGUGACGGGGCCUCCAAAGUUGGAAAGAGCACUUUGAUAUAAUGCCUCAUUCGGAACUUCACCUGGCAGAAGUUCACCGAGAUCAGAGGCCCUGUGACGAUCGUGUCAGGUAAAAAGCGCAGACUCACCAUUAUUGAAUGUGGGUGUGACAUUAACAUGAUGAUUGAUCUGGCUAAAGUAGCAGAUCUGGACAAGGUGGGGCUCACCCAUGAGCUGGUCCAGAGUCUCAUCUCCACCUACUCCACCAUUGAUGCCAAGAUGGCUUCAAGUCGAGUGAUGCUGCUUUCCAAUUCCAAACCACUUGGGUCAGAGGCUAUAGAUAAUCAAGGAGAUGGCUUUGGAUUCCCUGUUCUGUGUGCUCCUGUCUGGCUCCUGAACCCAGCUGGAGAGGUGUGUCAAUCCCAACUGGUGAAGUACUGAGAGGAAGCUACACAAAAGGCAGCAAGGUGUUAAUAAGUGUACCUCUGACAUUUUAACCACCUCUGACUUUUCCAUGGAAUGGACAAGUAGUAGUCUCUGUCAGAGCAAUGUUUUAAAGGAAAAAAAGAAACUUGAGGUCGUAAACUGUUCAUUAAUUUAUGCUGUUAUUUUGUGUUUACUCAACUCAUUUAUAUUGACUUGUAAAUUAGUAAUUUAUGAACUACUAUUCAUCAAUUCAUUGCCUACAUGUCAGCAAACAAGUUUUCUUCUUAAUAAAGAAUCCGGUGGCUGGGCACAAUGGUUCACACCUGUAAUCUCAGCAUGUUGGGAGGGCAAGGCAGGAGGAUUCCUUGAGGCCAAGAGUUCAAGACCCACCUGGGGAACAUAGCAAGAUUUCAUCUCUACAAUAAAAUGAAAACAUUGGCUGGGCAUGGUGGCUCAUUCCUAUAGUUCAGGCUACUCAGGAGCCUGAGGUAGGAGGAUCACUUGAACCCAGGAGUUUGAGGCUGCAGUGAGCUAUGAUCCUAACACUCCUCUCCAGCCUGGGUGACACACCAAGAGACCAUCUCUUCAAAAAAGGAAUCUAGGGGCAUCAGUGUGUGCACACAGCAUGGCUUGUGAAUGCGGAAGUGCCUGUGUGCAUAGUUGUGCUCAAGAAUGUGUUGAUGAUUAUAUCUUCUCAGCAUGAAAAAAAGUUGUUUUUUUUUUUUGAGAUGGAGUCUUGCUCUGUCACCAGACUGGAGUGCAGUAGCGCUAUCUCGGCUCACUGCAACCUCUGCCUCCUGGGUUCAAGCGAUUCUCCUGCCUCAGCCUCCUGAGUAGCUGGGACUACAGGCACACGUCACCACUCCUGGCUGAUUUUUUGUAUUUUAGUAGAUACGGGGUUUCACCAUGUGGGCCAGGAUGGUCUUGAUCCCCUGACCUCGUGAUCGGCCCACCUAGGCCUCCCAAAAUGCUGGGAUUACAGGUAUGAGCCACCGUGCCUGGCCUGAAGUUCACGUUUAUAAAGAUCUCUCUACAUCUUAGAUUUGAUUCUUCCUUUAAAUAUUUUUCUCAUUGACAUUUGAAAGCACCUGACCUUAUAUAAAAUGAAGAACUUUCAUAACUCCAUAAAAGGAGAAUUAUGACAUCAUCUACUAUUUCUUUCUCUUGUCUCAUAAAUCUAAACCAUCAACCUGCUUAUUUUUGUAUACUGUCACACUGUGUAUUCCCUGCAUUGAAUGCAUUUCUAUUGACAUUGUCUGUAAAAAUUGUGGGAAGUUGUCUGCACCCUAAAUUUUCUGUUAUGGGGAUUAAAUAUCCAGUAUCCAUGUUUUUCCAAGUCUUACAUCAGAAAGGGUAAAUACAGCCCUCACAGCAGCCUGUUGUUUGUCCUGCAAUUGUGUUUCCAUCACAUUACACAAAGCCUCUUUGUCUUCGUGGUUGUACCCUGCUAAUAAGUUUUUUUUUAAAUUAUGUAAUGUGUGUAUAUACAAAUACCUAUAUGUAUGUGUGUACACAUACAGCUGAUAUCUACUGAGAUUAUGUAUGCAUGAACUAUAGAAUUAACUUGCAAUUUUAAGAAAAUAAAUUAUUUUGUAAAGAUAAA